UGUGUAUUAUUAUUUUACGUAAAAUGGUCACAAAUGCUGGUGGAGUUCGAGGAGUCGGGUACAAAAUGAUCCGAUCACCUUGUUUAUUUCGACUACGCUAGGAUGAAAGUGUGUGCAAUACAUUGACAUCAUCAGCUCUACGAUUGCAAAAUACUAAUUUUUAGAUCAAGUUGAUCAAUUUAAUGCGGCUAUUGCUGAAGCAGUACGCCUGAGAGCCAACACAGCGCUAACUUUGUCAUUUCUGUUGGGCAGAUUGUGAUAAUAAUGAAACAUGCUCAAUAGCAACAAUCAGAUAAUAAUUUUCGUCGCGUCUAACUUUUGAACACAUAAUGAGCAUGAUUUAUUGUAUCGACAGCAGAUUUUAACGAAAAAUGAUGAUGAACGGUAUUUAAAUGAUUAAAGGUCACUUAAACACUACAAAAACUCAAUAAUUACGUCAACGUACGUUUGAAUACGUCUAAACAGGAUAGACAACUAUUUUAUUCACAAGAUACUUAGCUGAGUUUUUGUAUGCUUGUGAUUCGAAUAUAGUAUGAUGUUCUCGUGACAGAAUCAAAAUUUUAACUCCAAUAAUUUAAUAAUUAUUUUUGAUAAUGCUAGAUCAGUAAACGAGUUCACGACCCACCUGAUGUUGAGUCGUUACAAUAGCUCAUAAACACCAGUAGGUCAAUGCAACCUAUCUUUUUUGAGUUGUUAUUGUAAUGAAAUAUGUUUUUUAAAAUGUAACGCAAAUUUUUUUUUUUUUUUUUUUUUUCUAUCCUGCAACUUAGCAAUCUGUUUCUUGAAAAACAAUAAUCUAAUCUGUUGUCAGAUUUUCAUCAGGAAAAGUUGAGUCAGCUGAGUUGUGUCCCCAGUGGUACCAUUCUCAUCUUAAAUCUGCAAAUCUUUUUGCUAGGUCUGGUAUACUACUCCUUUUCAGGCGAGAGUAUCUUAGGCUGCCCUCCCCCUGCAGCUCUGCAGCCAGCUGAUUAAUGUGUUGGUCAAGUCGUGUUUGGUAAUUAAACGCAAAUAACAAGUUUUUUGUGGAGGUCCCAGAUGUGAAUUUUUUAUUACUGCCUUUCAACAAAAUUUUAAAGUUUUUUUUUUUUUGUACUGUUUUAAAUAAACGAUGCCUGGGAGAUGUGAAGACUAUCCAAAUAUCGAUUCUAAGGGACUUUUUAAUUUCACUUAUCAAAUAUAUAUGUAUAAGAAAAAAUUAAAAUGUAACAUGAAUCUCAAUCUUGUGUCAAAAUGUAUGUGAUUAUGUUGAAUUUCAAGUGUAUUUGGAUGAACAGUGUUCAUUAUAUAUAACUAAUCUUAAUGUAUAUUGAAACAUUAUUGAAAAUUUAUUAACUUAUUAGAAUUAUAAGUGUUAUGCUACUUACAUAUCUAUAGGUUGGAAAACAACAGACAUGUUUUUGAUAGAAAAACCAAUUCUCCCCCAUUUUUAAAAUACCUUUAUAGAUAUUUAGUAACAGACGAUGGGUUUAUUUGUUUCAAAAAGAUGUAACAAUUAAUAGCAAAAAUUGAACAGUGCUUGGUGGAUAUCAACAAACAAGAGUAAUUUAAUUUGAAUUAUAAGAAAAAGAGUUUAAAAUAAAAUCUAGGAUAUUUUAGACAUCAAUUUAAUCUGAUUAUUCAAAUUUUAUAUUUUUCAAUUUAAUUUUCCAUCGAUGAACAGCUUUUUUUUUUAAAAAACAACCUCGUAUGAAUAGUAAGUUAUUCAAACUUAUUUAUUUGACAAUUCCUAACUAACCUUUUAAUGCAGUAAAUUAGUGGUAAACUUAUGUAUGGGUAAAUUGUUUAUUUUUAUUGAUAAUCCAAGAGUUAAUAAAGAUAAUUAUCUACUGAUAA